UGUAGAUAUAAUUUAACUAAAAUAUUAGAUUGUGAUUCUAAAAAUAAAGUGUAAAAUCUUUUACUUACC
rnacentral:tRNA from 1 species